AAAGUUGAAAAGCACUUUGAAGAGAGAGUUAAAGAGCACGUGAAAUCGGUAAGGUGGAAACGGAUAGAGUUGACGUAUCUGGCUUGUAUUCAGCCGUCGAUUGUGCGUAACGGUGGGUUGUCGUGGGUGCGGUUGUCAAAGACUGUUGCCUGCGCGCAGUCCAUCGGUGUUUGCGUCUUUUGGCGGUGCAUUUACGAGUCUAUAUGCGCUGGGACGUGCGCGUUGGCUGUUGGUGUUGUGUGGCUAGAGGAGUUCUUAGUUGUUUUCGGACGACGGAAAAAACCGGGCCUGCGAUGCUAACAACGGUUCGGCGUGCGCGUUACGAGAAUUGAAAGAAAGGCGUUUGCGCGAGCGUUGCGGUUGUUGUUUUCGUGGGGUAUGGCGGUCGCAUGCGACACGUAUACUUGAUUUAACCGCGGAUUCGAUGAUCGUUGGCGUUCCCUGGUCUUUAUCCCGGUGUAAAAGUCAAUCAUCUAUCCGACCCGUCUUGAAACACGGACCAAGGAGUUUAACGUAUACGCGAGUCAUUGGGUGUUGAAAACCUAAAGGCGUAAUGAAAGUGAAUGCGUUCUCGAAACGUUGAUAUGCGAUCUUGUCGGCUUCGCGCCGACGAGCGCAGCAUAGCCCCGUUCUUGUCGCUUGCGAUGGAGCGGAGGAAGAGCGUAUGCGUUGAGACCCGAAAGAUGGUGAACUAUGCCUGAGCAGGACGAAGCCAGAGGAAACUCUGGUGGAAGUCCGAAUCGGUUCUGACGUGCAAAUCGAUCGUCUGACUUGGGUAUAGGGGCGAAAGACUAAUCGAACUAUC
rnacentral:rRNA from 1 species